rnacentral:rRNA from 1 species
AGCGAACGCUGGCGGCAGGCCUAAAACAUGCAAGUCGAACGCCGUAGCAAUACGGAGUGGCAGACGGGUGAGUAACACGUGGGAACGUGCCUUUUGGUUCGGAACAACCCAGGGAAACUUGGGCUAAUACCGGAUGUGCCCUUCGGGGAAAGAUUUAUCGCCAUUAGAGCGGCCCGCGUCUGAUUAGCUAGUUGGUAGGGUAAAGGCCUACCAAGGCUACGAUCAGUAGCUGGUCUGAGAGGANGAUCAGCCACACUGGGACUGAGACACGGCCCAGACUCCUACGGGAGGCAGCAGUUAGGAAUCUUGGACAAUGGGCGCAAGCCUGAUCCAGCCAUGCCGCGUGAGUGAUGAAGGCCUUAGGGUUGUAAAGCUCUUUCAGCGGGGAAGAUAAUGACGGUACCCGCAGAAGAAGCCCCGGCUAACUUCGUGCCAGCCGCCGCCGUAAG